AGCAGCCGCGGUAAUUCCAGCUCCAAUAGCGUAUAUUAAAGUUGUUGCAGUUAAAAAGCUCGUAGUUGAAUUUCGGGAUCAAUAUAUCGGUCGUGCCAUUGGUACGUACUGGUAUCAUUGGUUUCUCCUUUCUGACGAACCAUGAUGUCAUUAAUUUGGUGUUAUGGGAAGUUAGGACUGUUACUUUGAAGAAAGUAGAGUGUUUAAAGCAGGCUUUAGCUUGAAUACAUUAGCAUGGAAUAAUGAAAUAGGACGUUCGAACCUAUUUUGUUGGUUUCUAGGAUCAACGUAAUGAUUAAUAGGGAUAGUUGGGGGCAUUAGUAUUCAAUUGUCAGAGGUGAAAUUCUUGGAUUUAUUGAAGACUAACUACUGCGAAAGCAUUUGCCAAGGAUGUUUUCAUUAAUCAAGAACGAAAGUUAGGGGAUCGAAGACGAUCAGAUACCGUCGUAGUCUUAACCAUAAACUAUGCCGACUAGGGAUCGNAGGAUGUUAAUUUUUUAAUGACUCA
rnacentral:rRNA from 1 species